GGCCCUAUCGUCUAAUAGUUAGGACAAGAGCUUCUCAAGCUUUAAAUCUGGGUGCGAUCCCCAGUAGGGUCA
rfam:Parcubacteria bacterium GW2011_GWC1_40_11 TT74_C0002, whole genome shotgun sequence.